AGCGAACGCUGGCGGCAGGCCUAACACAUGCAAGUCGAACGAACUCUUCGGAGUUAGUGGCGGACGGGUGAGUAACACGUGGGAACGUGCCUCUUGGUUCGGAAUAACUCAGGGAAACUUGUGCUAAUACCGAAUGUGCCCUUCGGGGGAAAGGUUUAUCGCCAUUAGAGCGGCCCGCGUCUGAUUAGCUAGUUGGUGAGGUAACGGCUCACCAAGGCGACGAUCAGUAGCUGGUCUGAGAGGAUGACCAGCCACACUGGGACUGAGACACGGCCCAGACUCCUACGGGAGGCAGCAGUGGGGAAUCUUGCGCAAUGGGCGAAAGCCUGACGCAGCCAUGCCGCGUGAAUGAUGAAGGUCUUAGGAUUGUAAAAUUCUUUCACCGGGGACGAUAAUGACGGUACCCGGAGAAGAAGCCCCGGCUAACUUCGUG
rnacentral:rRNA from 1 species